UGGGGAAUUUUGCGCAAUGGGGGAAACCCUGACGCAGCAACGCCGCGUGGGUGAUGAAGGCCUUCGGGUCGUAAAGCCCUGUCGGGAGGGAAGAAAUGAUUGAGAGCUAAUACCUCUUGGUCUUGACGGUACCUCCGAAGGAAGCACCGGCUAACUCCGUGCCAGCAGCCGCGGUAAUACGGAGGGUGCAAGCGUUGUUCGGAAUUAUUGGGCGUAAAGCGCGUGUAGGCGGUCUUUUAAGUCUGAUGUGAAAGCCCCGGGCUCAACCUGGGAAGUGCAUUGGAAACUGGGAGACUUGAGUACGGGAGAGGAGAGUGGAAUUCCUAGUGUAGGAGUGAAAUCCGUAGAUAUUAGGAGGAACACCGGUGGCGAAGGCGGCUGCCUGGACCGAUAUUGACGCUGAGACGCGAAAGCGUGGGGAGCAAACAGGAUUAGAUACCCUGGUAGUCCACGCCGUAAACGAUGAGUACUAGGUGUUGCGGGUAUUGACCCCUGCAGUGCCGUAGCUAACGCAUUAAGUACUCCGCCUGGGAAGUACGGUCGCAAGACUA
rnacentral:rRNA from 1 species